rnacentral:rRNA from 1 species
UGAGGAAUUUUCUGCAAUGGGCGAAAGCCUGACAGAGCAAUACCGCGUGAGGGAUGAAGACUUACUGAGUUGUAAACCUCGGUACCUUAAGGAAGAAGAUCUGACGGUACUUAAGGUGGAAAGCAUCGGCUAACUCCGUGCCAGCAGCCGCGGUAAGACGGGGGAUGCAAGUGUUAUCCGGAUUUACUGGGCGUAAAGCGUCUGCAGGUGGUUUCUUAAGUCUACUGUUAAAUCUUGAGGCUCAACCUCAAAUCUGCAGUAGAAACUAGGAGACUUGAGUAUAGUAGGGGUAGAGGGAAUUUCCAGUGGAGCGGUGAAAUGCGUAGAUAUUGGAAAGAACACCGAUGGCGAAGGCACUCUACUGGGCUAUUACUGACACUCAGAGACGAAAGCUAGGGGAGCAAAUGGGAUUAGAUACCCCAGUAGUCCUAGCCGUAAACGAUGGAUACUCGAUGUUGGACGUAUCGACCCGUUCAGUAUCUUAGCUAACGCGUUAAGU